CAGCAGUGGGGAAUAUUGCACCAAUGGCGGCAGCUGAUGCAGCAUGCCGCGUGUAUGAGAGCUUCGGGUUGUAAAGUACUUUCAGUCGUGAGGAAGGUUCAUACGUUAAUAGCGUAUGGAUUGACGUUAGCGACAGAAGAAGCACCGGCUAACUCCGUGCCAGCAGCCGCGGUAAUACGGAGGGUGCGAGCGUUAAUCGGAAUUACUGGGCGUAAAGCGCAUGCAGGUGGUUUGUUAAGUCAGAUGUGAAAGCCCGGGGCUCAACCUCGGAAUUGCAUUUGAAACUGGCAUACUAGAGUACUGUAGAGGGGGGUAGAAUUUCAGGUGUAGCGGUGAAAUGCGUAGAGAUCUGAAGGAAUACCGGUGGCGAAGGCGGCCCCCUGGACAGAUACUGACACUCAGAUGCGAAAGCGUGGGGAGCAAACAGGAUUAGAUACCCUGGUAGUCCACGCCGUAAACGAUGUCUACUUGGAGGUUGUGGCCUUGAGCCGUGGCUUUCGGAGCUAACGCGUUAAGUAGACCGCCUGGGGAGUACGGUCGCAAGAUUAAAACUCAAAUGAAUUGACGGGGGCCCGCACAAGCGGUGGAGCAUGUGGUUUAAUUCGAUGCAACGCGAAGAACCUUACCUACUCUUGACAUCCAGAGAAGCCAGUAGAGAUACAGGUGUGCCUUCGGGAGCUCUGAGACAGGUGCUGCAUGGCUGUCGUCAGCUCGUGUUGUGAAAUGUUGGGUUAAGUCCCGCAACGAGCGCAACCCUUAUCCUUGUUUGCCAGCGAGUAAUGUCGGGAACUCCAGGGAGACUGCCGGUGAUAAACCGGAGGAAGGUGGGGACGACGUCAAGUCAUCAUGGCCCUUACGAGUAGGGCUACACACGUGCUACAAUGGCGCAUACAGAGGGCAGCAAGCUAGCGAUAGUGAGCGAAUCCCAAAAAGUGCGUCGUAGUCCGGAUUGGAGUCUGCAACUCGACUCCAUGAAGUCGGAAUCGCUAGUAAUCGUGGAUCAGAAUGCCACGGUGAAUACGUUCCCGGGCCUUGUACACACCGCCCGUCACACCAUGGGAGUGGGCUGCAAAAGAAGUGGGUAGUUUAACCUUUCGGGGAGGACGCUCACCACUUUGUUUCAGACC
rnacentral:rRNA from 1 species